UACGGAGGAUGCGAGCGUUAUCCGGAUUUAUUGGGUUUAAAGGGUGCGUAGGCGGAGUGCCGAGUCAGCGGUAAAAAUUCGGGGCUCAACCCCGUCGUGCCGUUGAAACUGGCGCCCUUGAGUGGGCGAGAAGUAUGCGGAAUGCGUGGUGUAGCGGUGAAAUGCAUAGAUAUCACGCAGAACCCCGAUUGCGAAGGCAGCAUACCGGCGCCCGACUGACGCUGAAGCACGAAAGCGUGGGUAUCGAACAGG
rnacentral:rRNA from 1 species